rnacentral:rRNA from 1 species
CGUAGGUGGCAAGCGUUGUCCGGAUUUAUUGGGCGUAAAGCGAGCGCAGGCGGUUCUUUAAGUCUGAUGUGAAAGCCCCCGGCUCAACCGGGGAGGGUCAUUGGAAAACUGGAGAACUUGAGUGCAGAAGAGGAGAGUGGAAUUCCACGUGUAGCGGUGAAAUGCGUAGAUAUGUGGAGGAACACCAGUGGCGAAGGCGACUCUCUGGUCUGUAACUGACGCUGAGGCUCGAAAGCGUGGGGGAGCAAACAGGAUU